AUCGCUUCUCGGCCUUUUGGCUAAGAUCAAGUGUAGGACUCCAUUACAUAAAUGUGGCACAUUUAAGUCACAUUCCUUUUAAGAGUCACCAAAAUAUUAGUUUAUCUUGGGGGCCUCCACAUGACCUUUGAGUUCUGAAGGGGCUGCCUGC
ensembl:snRNA U2 U2 spliceosomal RNA